rnacentral:rRNA from 1 species
AUUGAACGCUGGCGGCAGGCCUAACACAUGCAAGUCGAACGAGUGGCGGACGGGUGAGUAAUGUCUGGGAAACUGCCUGAUGGAGGGGGAUAACUACUGGAAACGGUAGCUAAUACCGCAUACUAUAGGAUGUGCCCAGAUGGGUUGAGCUAGUUGGUGGGGUAAAGGCUCACCUUGGCUGCGCUCCCUAGCUGGUCUGAGAGGAUGACCAGCCACACUGGAACUGAGACACGGUCCAGCCUCCUACGGGGGGCAGCAGUGGGGAACAUUGCAAAAGGGGCGCAAGCCGGAUACAGCCAUGCCGCGUGUAUGAAGAAGGCCUUCGGGUUGUAAAGUACUUUCAGCGGGGAGGCGUUACCCGCAGAAGAAGCACCGGCUAACUCCGUGCCAGCAGCCGCGGUAAUAC